CUGUGGUCUCAUCUUUAGUCUGAAGAAGAUGGACAAACUGUCUGUUCUACUGACAUUGCUCUGUCUGCCCUGUUUGAGUGGCCAGGCCCUGGAGUCCAUUCCCUCGACCCCGGUUCUGAAAACACCCCAAGAAGCCCUGAGUCUCUCUUGCAAGGGAACUGGAUUUGAUUUCAGUCAAAAAGGAAUGCACUGGAUCAGACAACCUGCAGGAAAGGCACUGGAGUGGCUUGGGCUUAUUUACAAUGAUGCAAGCAAAACAUAUUACACUAGCAGUCUUCAAGGACGUAUAGAAAUAACCAGAGAUAACAGCAACAGCGUGGUGCAUCUCAAACUGUCCAACCUAAAGCUGGAGGACUCGGCUGUGUAUUACUGCGCCAGAGACACACACUGGUUAGAGUGA